AGCAGUAGCCGCGGUAAUACAGAGGGUGCGAGCGUUAAUCGGAUUUACUGGGCGUAAAGCGUGCGUAGGCGGCUUUUUAAGUCGGAUGUGAAAUCCCUGAGCUUAACUUAGGAAUUGCAUUCGAUACUGGGAAGCUUGAGUAUGGGAGAGGAUGGUAGAAUUCCAGGUGUAGCGGUGAAAUGCGUAGAGAUCUGGAGGAAUACCGAUGGCGAAGGCAGCCAUCUGGCCUAAUACUGACGCUGAGGUACGAAAGCAUGGGGAGCAAACAGGAUUAGAUACCCCGGUAGUCCCUGUCUCUUAUAC
rnacentral:rRNA from 1 species